UACAGAGGUCCCAAGCGUUGUUCGGAUUCACUGGGCGUAAAGGGUGCGUAGGUGGUGAGGUAAGUCGGAUGUGAAAGCUCCGAGCUCAACUCGGAAAUGGCAUUGGAAACUACCUUGCUCGAGGGUUUGAGGGGGGACUGGAAUACUUGGUGUAGCAGUGAAAUGCGUAGAUAUCAAGUAGAACACCAGUGGCGAAGGCGAGUCCCUGGAAAACUCCUGACACUGAGGCACGAAAGCCAGGGGAGCAAACGGG
rnacentral:rRNA from 1 species